rnacentral:rRNA from 1 species
GAUCCUGGCUCAGGACGAACGCUGGCGGCGCGCCUAACACAUGCAAGUCGAACGGAGUCAAGAGGAGCUUGCUUUUCUUGACUUAGUGGCGAACGGGUGAGUAACGCGUGAGUAACCUGCCCUGGAGUGGGGGACAACAGUUGGAAACGACUGCUAAUACCGCAUAAGCCCACGGUCCGGCAUCGGAUUGAGGGAAAAGGAUUUAUUCGCUUCAGGAUGGACUCGCGUCCAAUUAGCUAGUUGGUGAGG